rnacentral:rRNA from 1 species
AAUAGAUACCCGGGUAGUCCACGCCGUAAACGAUGAGUGCUAAGUGUUAGAGGGUUUCCACCCUUUAGUGCUGCAGCUAACGCAUUAAGCACUCCGCCUGGGGAGUACGGUCGCAAGACUGAAACUCAAAGGAAUUGACGGGGGCCCGCACAAGCGGUGGAGCAUGUGGUUUAAUUCGAAGCAACGCGAAGAACCUUACCAGGUCUUGACAUCCUCUGACAACUCUAGAGAUAGAGUGUUCCCCUUCGGGGGACAGAGUGACAGGUGGUGCAUGGUUGUCGUCAGCUCGUGUCGUGAGAUGUUGGGUUAAGUCCCGCAACGAGCGCAACCCUUGAUCUUAGUUGCCAGCAUUUAGUUGGGCACUCUAAGGUGACUGCCGGUGACAAACCGGAGGAAGGUGGGGAUGACGUCAAAUCAUCAUGCCCCUUAUGACCUGGGCUACACACGUGCUACAGUGGAUGGUACAAAGGGCUGCAAGACCGCGAGGUCAAGCCAAUCCCAUAAAACCAUUCUCAGUUCGGAUUGUAGG